CACGUACUCCCUCCGUUCCAAAUUACUUGGCCCAUAUUUAUCUAGACACGAAUGUAUCUAGACACAAAACAAAGUAUAGAUACAUCUGUAUCUAGACAAAUUCAAGUCAGCUAAUUUGGAACGGAGGGAGUAGUAC
rfam:Triticum aestivum genome assembly, contig: Triticum_aestivum_CS42_TGACv1_scaffold_361156_4DS